UACGUAGGCAGCAAGCGUUGUUCGGAGUUACUGGGCGUAAAGGGUGUGUAGGCGGUUCUUUUAAGUUUGCUGUGAAAUCUCCCGGCUUAACCGGGAGGGUGCGGUGAAUACUGAGGGACUAGAGUACGGGAGAGGAAAGUGGAAUUCCUGGUGUAGCGGUGAAAUGCGUAGAUAUCAGGAGGAACACCGGUGGUGUAGACGGCUUUCUGGACCGACACUGACGCUGAGACACGAAAGCGUGGGGAGCAAACAGG
rnacentral:rRNA from 1 species